UACGAGGGAUGCAAGCGUUAUCCGGAAUUAUUGGGCGUAAAGCGUUUGUAGGCGGGCGAGUGUGUUUAAUGUUAAAUCUUAAAGCUCAACUUUGAAAUUGCGUUAAAAACUGCUUGUCUUGAGUAUGGUAGGGGUAAAGGGAAUUCCCAGUGUAGCGGUGAAAUGCGUAGAUAUUGGGAAGAACACUAAACAGCGAAGGCACUUUACUAGGCUAAUACUGACGCUGAGAAACGAAAGGUAAGGUAGCGAAACGGAUUAGAUACCCGUGUAGUCUUACCCGUAAACUAUGGACACUAAACGGUAAAUUUUUAAUUUACUGUUAAAGCUAACGCGUUAAGUGUCCCGCCUGGGGAGUAUGCUUGCAAAAGUGAAACUCAAAGGAAUUGACGGGGGCCCGCACAAGCGGUGGAGCAUGUGGUUUAAUUCGACGGUACACGAAGAACCUUACCAGGAUUUGACAUGCUAGAUAGUUGCUUGAAAGAGUAACGUGCCGUAAGGAAUCUAGACACAGGUGGUGCAUGGCUGUCGUCAGUUCGUGUUGUGAAAUGUUGGGUUAAGUCCCGCAACGAACGCAACCCUUGUCUUUAGUUAUUUUCUAAAGAGACUGCCUGUAAUAAACAGGAGGAAGGUAAGGAUGAGGUCAAGUCAUCAUGCCCCUUAUGUCCUGGGCUACACACGUGCUACAAUGGGAAAGACAAUGAGCUGCAAAUCUGUAAAUUUAAGCAAAUCUCUUAAACUUUCUCGUAGUUCGGAUUGUGGGCUGCAACUCGCCCACAUGAAGUUGGAAUAGCUAGUAAUCGCCAGUCAGCUAUAUGGCGGUGAAUCCGUUCCCGGGCCU
rnacentral:rRNA from 1 species